GAUGAACGCUGGCGGCGUGCCUAAUACAUGCAAGUCGAGCGAACGGACGAGAAGCUUGCUUCUCUGAUGUUAGCGGCGGACGGGUGAGUAACACGUGGAUAACCUACCUAUAAGACUGGGAUAACUUCGGGAAACCGGAGCUAAUACCGGAUGAUAUUUUGAACCGCAUGGUUCAAAAGUGAAAGACGGUCUUGCUGUCACUUAUAGAUGGAUCCGCGCUGCAUUAGCUAGUUGGUAAGGUAACGGCUUACCAAGGCAACGAUGCAUAGCCGACCUGAGAGGGUGAUCGGCCACACUGGAACUGAGACACGGUCCAGACUCCUACGGGAGGCAGCAGUAGGGAAUCUUCCGAAAUGGGCGAAAGCCUGACGGAGCAACGCCGCGUGAGUGAUGAAGGUCUUCGGAUCGUAAAACUCUGUUAUUAGGGAAGAACAUAUGUGUAAGUAACUGUGCACAUCUUGACGGUACCUAAUCAGAAAGCCACGGCUAACUACGU
rnacentral:rRNA from 1 species